UUUAGAGAUAGAGGGUGCUCGAAAGAGAGCCGUAACACAGGUGCUGCAUGGCUGUCGUCAGCUCGUGUCGUGAGAUGUUGGGUUAAGUCCCGCAACGAGCGCAACCCUUGUCAUUAGUUGCUACAUUCAGUUGGGCACUCUAAUGAGACUGCCGGUGACAAGCCGGAGGAAGGUGGGGAUGACGUCAAGUCCUCAUGGCCCUUACGGGUUGGGCUACACACGUGCUACAAUGGCAGUGACAAUGGGUUAAUCCCCAAAAGCUGUCUCAGUUCGGAUUGGGGUCUGCAACUCGACCCCAUGAAGUCGGAAUCGCUAGUAAUCGCGUAACAGCAUGACGCGGUGAAUACGUUCCCGGGCCUU
rnacentral:rRNA from 1 species